CAAAAACAUUGCCCCCUGACAAUAAAUAGGGGGUAUCUCCUGCCCAGUGACAAUAUAGUUCAACGGCCGCGGUAUCUUAACCGUGCAAAGGUAGCAUAGUCAUUUGCUCAUUAAUUGUGGGCUAGAAUGAAGGGAUUAACGAAAUAUAAACUGUCUCUGUAAGACCUCUAAAAACUAUUAUCUAAUUGAAGAAAAUUAGAUAUAUUUGAAGGACAAGAAGACCCUAUAGAGCUUUAUCCUAUAGUAUAAUACAUCAUACUCUAAGAUUCGGUUGGGGCGACCUGGGAAGCUAUACAUCAUCCCUGAUAAUAUAGAUAAAUAUAUCCAAUCUUUAGACCCUUAUCCAAGAUCCUUAGACCAAGCUACCUUAGGGAUAACAGGCUAAUCUCAUUAAAGAGUUCUUAUCUAUAAUGAGGUUUGGCACCUCGAUGUUGGCUUAGGGAAUCCAUACGGCGCAAAAGUCGUAUAAAGAUGGUUUGUUCAACCAGUAACACCCUACAUGAUCU
rnacentral:rRNA from 1 species